AUCCUUUUUUGGUUCACGGUCAUAAUGAGUGGGCAUUCACACCAUUACAUGACAUGCGCCUCCCAUAAACUUUGUAUAACAUUUACACAUUACCCGUCUGACA